UUCCGGUUGAUCCUGCCGGACCCCACUGCUAUCGGGAUAGGACUAAGACAUGCUAGUCGCGUGCUUCAGCCAAAACGAAGCACGGCACACAGCUCAGUAACACGUGGCUAAUCUGCCCUUGGGAUAGGAAUACCCCCGGGAAACCGGGGCUAAUUCCCAAUAGGUGAAGAACUCUGGAAUGAGUCUCCACUAGAAAAGAGCCUACGUUAUGCUCGUAAGUUUCGCCCAAGGAUGAGGCCGCGACCGAUCAGGUUGUUGGCGAGGUAAUGGCUCACCAAGCCUUUUACCGGUGCGGGCCGUGGGAGCGGGAGCCCGGAGAUGGGUACUGAGACAAGGACCCAGGCCCUACGGGGCGCAGCAGUCGCGAAAACUUUGCAAUAAGCGCAAGCUUGACAGGGCUAUCCCGAGUGCCAUCCGCUGAGGAAGGCUUUUACCCAGUCUAGAACGCUGGGGGAAUAAGGAGAGGGCAAGUCUGGUGUCAGCCGCCGCGGUAAUACCAGC
rnacentral:rRNA from 1 species